GGAAGGGUGGCAGAGUGGCCGAAUGCACCGGUCUUGAAAACCGGCGAAGGUAAUACUUCCGUGGGUUCAAAUCCCACCCCUUCCGCCA
rnacentral:tRNA from 1 species